rnacentral:rRNA from 1 species
UGGCUCAGGACGAACGCUGGCGGCGUGCCUAAUACAUGCAAGUCGAGCGGACCGACGGGAGCUUGCUCCCUUAGGUCAGCGGCGGACGGGUGAGUAACACGUGGGUAACCUGCCUGUAAGACUGGGAUAACUCCGGGAAACCGGGGCUAAUACCGGAUGCUUGAUUGAACCGCAUGGUUCAAUCAUAAAAGGUGGCUUUUAGCUACCACUUACAGAUGGACCCGCGGCGCAUUAGCUAGUUGGUGAGGUAACGGCUCACCAAGGCGACGAUGCGUAGCCGACCUGAGAGGGUGAUCGGCCACACUGGGACUGAGACACGGCCCAGACUCCUACGGGAGGCAGCAGUAGGGAAUCUUCCGCAAUGGACGAAAGUCUGACGGAGCAACGCCGCGUGAGUGAUGAAGGUUUUCGGAUCGUAAAACUCUGUUGUUAGGGAAGAACAAGUACCGUUCGAAUAGGGCGGUACCUUGACGGUACCUAACCAGAAAGCCACGGCUAACUACGUGCCAGCAGCCGCGGUAAUACGUAGGUGGCAAGCGUUGUCCGGAAUUAUUGGGCGUAAAGCGCGCGCAGGCGGUUUCUUAAGUCUGAUGUG